rnacentral:rRNA from 1 species
CUUGCUCCCUGAUGUCAGCGGCGGACGGGUGAGUAACACGUGGGUAACCUGCCUGUAAGACUGGGAUAACUCCGGGAAACCGGGGCUAAUACCGGAUGCUUGAUUGAACCGCAUGGUUCAAUUAUAAAAGGUGGCUUUUAGCUACCACUUACAGAUGGACCCGCGGCGCAUUAGCUAGUUGGUGAGGUAACGGCUCACCAAGGCAACGAUGCGUAGCCGACCUGAGAGGGUGAUCGGCCACACUGGGACUGAGACACGGCCCAGACUCCUACGGGAGGCAGCAGUAGGGAAUCUUCCGCAAUGGACGAAAGUCUGACGGAGCAACGCCGCGUGAGUGAUGAAGGUUUUCGGAUCGUAAAACUCUGUUGUUAGGGAAGAACAAGUACCGUUCGAAUAGGGCGGUACCUUGACGGUACCUAACCAGAAAGCCACGGCUAACUACGUGCCAGCAGCCGCGGUAAUACGUAGGUGGCAAGCGUUGUCCGGAAUUAUUGGGCGUAAAGCGCGCGCAGGCGGUUUCUUAAGUCUGAUGUGAAAGCCCCCGGCUCAACCGGGGAGGGUCAUUGGAAACUGGGGAACUUGAGUGCAGAAGAGGAGAGUGGAAUUCCACGUGUAGCGGUGAAAUGCGUAGAGAUGUGGAGGAACACCAGUGGCGAAGGCGACUCUCUGGUCUGUAACUGACGCUGAGGCGCGAAAGCGUGGGGAGCGAACAGGAUUAGAUACCCUGGUAGUCCACGCCGUAAACGAUGAGUGCUAAGUGUUAGAGGGUUUCCGCCCUUAGUGCUGCAGCAAACGCAUUAAGCACUCCGCCUGGGGAGUACGGUCGCAAGACUGAAACUCAAAGGAAAUGACGGGGGCCCGCACAANCNGGUGGAGCAUGUGGGUUUAAUUCGAAGCAAC